AUAUACCUCUUCGUGUAGAAAGUCUUAGAAUGUCAUCAUCAUCAUGGAGUCGCGACUUCCAGGAGACGCGAUUCUUUGAGACAAAAGUUAUUACAACUUUCAGCAACGGAUCUCUUGGCUCUCGCAUCGAUGAAGAACGCAGCGAAUCGCGAUAUGUAAUGUGAAUUGCAGAUCUACAGUGAAUCAUCGAAUCUUUGAACGCACCUUGCGCUCCUCGGUGUUCCGAGGAGCAUGCCUGUUUGAGCGUCAGUAAAUUCUCAACCCCUCUCGAUCUUUUUCGAGCGGGCGCUUGGAUGGUGGGGGCUGCCGGAGACCUGGAUUCGUUCAGGACUCGGGCUCCUCUGAAAUGAAUCGGCUUGCGGUCGACUUUUCGACUUUGCAUGACAAGGCCUUUGGCGUGAUAAUGAUCGCCGUUCGCCGAAGUGCACGACAGAAUCGUCCCGUGCCUCUAAUGCGUCGACGCCUUUCGGGGCGUCUUCCUUAUCGACGUUGACCUCAAAUCAGG
rnacentral:rRNA from 1 species